CCUACGGGUGGCAGCAGUGGGGAAUAUUGGGCAAUGGGCGCAAGCCUGACCCAGCAACGCCGCGUGAAGGAAGACGGCUUUCGGGUUGUAAACUACUUUUAUGAGGGACGAGCAGAAUACGGUUCCUAUUGAAUAAGCCACGGCUAACUCUGUGCAUGCAGCCGCGGUAAUACGUAGGUGGCAAGCGUUGUCCGGAUUUACUGGGUGUAAAGGGCGUGCAGCCGGGAAGACAAGUCAGAUGUGAAAUCCUGCGGCUCAACCGCGGAACUGCAUUUGACACUGUUUUUCUUGAGUACCGGAGAGGUCAUCGGAAUUCCAUGUGUAGCAGUGAAAUGCGUAGAUAUAAGGAAGAACACCAGUGGCGAAGGCGGAUGACUGGACGGCAACUGACGGUGAGGCGCGAAAGCGUGGGGAGCAAACAGGAUUAGAUACCCGGGUAGUC
rnacentral:rRNA from 1 species